rnacentral:rRNA from 1 species
ACGGUUACCUUGUUACGACUUAGCCCCAGUCACCGGUUUUACCUUAGGGCGCUCCUUGCGGUUGCACACUUCAGGCACUCCCGGCUUCCAUGGCUUGACGGGCGGUGUGUACAAGGCCCGGGAACGUAUUCACCGCGCCGUGGCUGAUGCGCGAUUACUAGCGAAUCCAGCUUCAUGGAGUCGGGUUGCAGACUCCAAUCCGAACUGAGACAGGCUUUGAAGUUCCGCUCUGCGUCGCCGCAUCGCUUCUCUCUGUACCUGCCAUUGUAACACGUGUGUCGCCCCGGACGUAAGGGCCGUGCUGAUUUGACGUCAUCCCCGCCUUCCUCACAGCUUGCGCCGGCAGUCUCGCCAGAGUCCCCAACUUUACCUGCUGGUAACUGGCGAUGGGGGUUGCGCUCGUUAUGGCACUUAAGCCGACACCUCACGGCACGAGCUGACGACAACCAUGCAGCACCUCGACGGAUGUCCCGUAGGACUGCCUCCUUUCAGAGACAUCCAUCCGUCGUUUGAGCCCGGGUAAAGUUCCUCGCGUAUCAUCGAAUUAAACCACAUGUUCCUCCGCUUGUGCGGGCCCCCGUCAAUUCCUUUGAGUUUCACCGUUGCCGG